ensembl:snRNA U6 U6 spliceosomal RNA
UUGCUUUGGCAGCACAUACAAUAAAAUUAGAGUGGCUCAGAGAAGAUUAGCUGGGCUCUUGCAAAGGAUGACACACAAACUCAUGAAACACUCUGUAUGUAU